GCACCGCUGACAAGUCCUAAACAGAACGAAACAGCUGUCCAGUGC
rfam:Echinostoma caproni strain Egypt genome assembly, scaffold: ECPE_contig0030498